AUUGUCUGCAUGGCUAUUUUUCGUCAUCUUAGGUUUCUGUUUGGAGGUCCCCCCUCUGAUCUUGGAGCAGCAGACACUGCAAAUAACCUUGCAAGAGUUGUAUCAUUAUGUGCCUGCCGCAUGGAUAUUGGUUCCCUUAGUGCUUGUCUUGCAGCUGUUGUUUGUUCCUCAGAGCAGCCCCCACUUCGCCCUCUUGGAAGCUCUGGUGGAAAUGGGGCUUCUCUCAUUCUAAUGUCUGUUCUUGAGAGGGCAACUGAAUUAUUGAAUGAGCUUCAAGAUGCUAGCAACUAUAAUGUUACAAAUCGGGCACUUUGGAAGGCCUCGUUUGAUGAGUUUUUUGGCCUACUUAUAAAGUACUGCAUAAAUAAAUAUGAUAGUAUUAUGCAGUCUUCUUUACAAGAUCCAGCUGAAGCUAUUAAGAGGGAACUACCGAUGGAGAUCCUUCGAGCCAGUGUUCCCCACACAGAUGACUACCAGAAAAAGAUGAUGUAUGAUCUUUCCCAGUGUUCCUUAGUUAGUCAAGAUGGUUGUCGCAUGAAUUCUGAAUCAGUGUUGAGUUGAUACUGUGUUGCAUGAAAAUAUGAUAGAAAUUGAAAAGCUGUGUCCUGAAUUGCCAAGUUACUGAAAGACUGAAUGUGAAAGAUACUGUUGGACCAGCAAUGUUAUGGGGUAUUUGUUUACUUGCGCCUUUACACUAUGGCUAAUUAGGAAUACGUGGAGUAAAUGAAGCAGAAGCUUUGGAGCAACCUACUGCAAAGUCAUUUUAGUUCUUUCAGAUUUUAGUAUAUUUUAGUCAUUUUCACUCUAUUCUGUGCAACUUUCUUGGCCAAACCUGUAACC
rnacentral:misc_RNA from 1 species